GGGGUAUGCUCAGAGCAAGGCCCUGAAAAAAUGGCUUCUCUGCUUACAACACACUGGACGGGAAUCUGUAUUCAUUGUUUACAAAGGGCACAAAAGGUGUGGCCUUCCUACAAACAUCCAUCAUGUGUCC
ensembl:snoRNA